GCGCCCGUAGCUCAACGGAUAGAGCAUCUGACUACGGAUCAGAAGGUUGGGGGUUCGAAUCCCUCCGGGCGUGCCA
rnacentral:tRNA from 3 species